rnacentral:rRNA from 1 species
CGCGGUGAAUACGUUCCCGGACCUUGUACACACCGCCCGUCAAGCCAUGGAAGCUGGGUGUACCUAAAGUCGGUAACCGCAAGGAGCCGCCUAGGGUAAACUAGUAACUGGGGCU